AGCACGUGCCGGAAGCCCAGCAGCGAAGAGGAGGGGAGAGGAGAGGGGAGGCGGCAGGCGAGGACACCACCCGCGGUUCGCGGCCACCAGCCGACCCGACCACGGCGCGCCGCCGCUGCCAUCUCCGCCUGUCGCGGGGGGAGCGCUCGCUGGCUCGCACUCCGAGUGUUGCUUGAUACCAUCAUUAGCAGUUGAAGAGGAGCAUACAGGCAAUGUACACAUCUCGUCUGGUAGAUGAUGGGCCUUCUGUACUACAGUUAUGCAGAUGGACAUUGCCCACAGCCCCAUCUUAAACUAUCAAAAUUUUGAGAGGCUUUUACAUCUCCAACAAGGCGUGUUUUUGAACUGCUCGCAGACCAUGGAUAUCUUGUCCUGGCAACUGCUGAGGCCAAUCUGACAAGUGAAUCAACUAGAGCUAUCCCAGAUACCUGCACUUACGCAGUCUUUGAAACAUUUUCUUCUAUUUCUAGAGGGAAGUCUUUAGCAUGGGGAUAUUGUUCUGGUGCUUCUAGUCAAGUUGAGGAUUCAAGUUUCUAA